UAGUUCGGCUUCUUUGCGUGAGAAGGAAGUAAGGAAGCCGUUUUGCUGUGUUCUCCUUUCCUUGCGCUCGUUCUUAUGUUUGCUGCCUUACUUCUCUUCGCAUCCGGAAUGCGUCAGGUUCCGGAAAGGUUGUAGAAGCCAAAAGAAGACAUUUCUCGCUAAUGGAAGGCCCAACUCAGAUUCUGCCACUAUGAAGAAAUGGAGUCACUUUACCUGACUGAAGAAGGAAUACAAGUAUAAAAGUAUUGCCAUCCCUAGUAAUAUAUAAAACAACCAAUAUCCCUCCCCCUUCAAAUUUUUAGCAUUUUUUACUCAUCUUGUUCUCACUCAUAUCCUAGUUAUUUGGGGUUUAUUGUCCUUUCCUUUCAUCUCAGAGGCUCUUGCUACAUGGUAGCAAGACAUCAAAUAUAACUGCCUUGAAAAACUGAACAUGGAUAAUCGACAGAAUUGGAGAGGAUCAAGGCAGGUGUGAACAAGAUAAUAUGUAAGCAAUGAAGAACUCUAAAGAACUGGAGUAAAAGUUAUCAUCAAGGAAUUGGAUAGGAAGAGUAGAUAAGCUGGUUAUGUAAAUGAGCAAAGUGUCACACUGAUACCUUUGCAGUGUCAGGCAAAGGAAAGGAAAGACUCCUGCACAUUGGGGAACCUAGUGGAAGACAUGAGUUGCACAUGAUGAACAGGCAUGGGGGCUAAAGUUUUCAUUGUUGGAAGGAGCUCCCAAACUAAGGAAAUCACAGAUCCAUCUGUGUAGACUUUUGUGUAUAUGUGAGCACAUAUACAUAUAUACACACACAUAUGCAUAUCCAUAUAUACUGAGAAAAUAUAGACACACUAUUUGUAUCCCCUUCUGCAGUCUUUCUUCCAUGCAUUUCAAAACGUUUGUUGCUUUGUGUCUGUCUCUCCCCAACAGAAUCCCUUUAUCACAAAAACAAAAAAAAAGUCAAAACACUAGCUAUAUCUAAGAAGGCCUAUAUUCAUGUGUCUCUUUUUCAUCUUUUUUGUCAAGUAAGAGGAAUGUUUCAUCAAUAGUUUUUUAAAAUCAUUAUUUUUCAUUAAUUUGAUCAGAAUUCUGAUAUCUUUUGUUCCCAUAAGUUUUCUUACAUAAGGUAAAGGGAUGCAUUCUAAGUUGUCACAAAAUUAAAAAUGUGGUUUAAAAAUAGUAAUGAGAAAAAUAUAACAAUUGUGCUAGCAAACAAAAUAAGCCAUUAAAAAUUAGUCACAAAAGGAGAGUUUAAGGGUAGAAUACCUGAUAUGACACUUCCACAGCAAAAUAAUACAGAGUAAAUCCAUUCUAUAAUCUUAAACAUGAUUAAAAAUCCUAUUGCUUGCCAGAACUUUAGCAGAAAACAAUACCGAAAUGCCACUCAAAACAGUUUUUCAAUUAUGUUUAUUUAGAAAUAGGAAAGUUAAGACAAAAGCAAAAUAGAAGCAUGUUAUAUUAACAGGAAAUAAAUAUAUUGCCAUACCCACUAGGUCUUCUGGUGGUCCAAAGAGAUUGUAGCAAGUGUCUAAACUUUAUAGUGGUUCUUUCACUAUUUUGAAUAUUUUUUUAUUUUGUAUCUAUGUCUACUUGAGAAAGUGUUCUUGUGUGGAAAUUCUAAAAUGACCUGUUAGUAUUUGGGAUUGUCAAACUAAAAUAAAAGGUAGAGGAUUGAAAUGAAUGA